UAUCGUGUGGAUCGCACACAAGAAAGAGACUGCUAACGGAUGAGACACGUUUUAAGCGAUUCCGUAAAAUGGAUUUCUGCAUAAACUGCAUUUUUAAAUUAGGAAUUACAGCCAGGCUCUACUGUGUGACAAGUUGUGGGAGGCAAAGAUGGACGCUGAAUUGACAACAAGGUUUUGAGCACUACAGAAAGGGAAAGAAUUGCCUUUUUUCUUCUUCUUUCUUGUUGUUUUCAUGGAGCAUUUGCCAGUCCAAACACAGAUGCUUAAAGAGUUUUUGUCCUGCUAGCUGUUUGUGGGUCAAUAGUGUCUCCAGGACACCUGCAGCAGUAUCGGGCUCACCGGACAAAGCCUUCGUCCAACUGAACCAGGAGCAUUUGGACAUCCUGAAGCAAAUAUCUCUCAGUUGAUGCCUGACCAGCUGGCGAGCUACAUGGAUCUUAUAAGGACCAGCUGUAUGCCACAAUACCUGAAGCAAGUUCAGAGCUCAACUAGGCCUAAAAGCAGCAGAGAGAGGAGGAAGCUGGAGUACCCGGUGAGAACCCACACAUGCACGGGGAG